CCUACGGGAGGCAGCAGUGGGGAAUUUUGGACAAUGGGCGCAAGCCUGAUCCAGCAAAGCCGCGUGGGGGAUGAAGGCCCUCGGGGUGUAAACCACUUUUGUAGAGAACGAAAAGACACCUGCGAAUAAAGGCUGUUGCUGACGGUACUCUAAGAAUAAGCACCGGCUAACUACGUGCCAGCAGCCGCGGCAAUACGUAGGGUGCCAGCGUUAAUCGGAAUGAUUGGGCGUAAAGGGUGUGCAGGCGGUUGGGUAAGUCAGAUGGGAAAGCCCUGGGCUUAACUCGGGAAUGGCAUUUGAUACUGCUCGACUAGAGUGUGUCAGAGGGAGGUGGAAUUCCACGUGUAGCGGUGAAAUGCGUAGAUAUGUGGAAGAACACCGAUGGCGAAGGCAGCCUCCUGGGUCAUAACUGACGCUGAGGCACGAAAGCGUGGGGAGCAAACAGGAUUAGAUACCCGUGUAGUC
rnacentral:rRNA from 1 species